AAGAUGGGAGUCUCACUCUGUCGCCCAGGCUGGAGUUCAGUGACGCAAUCUCGGCUCACCACAACCUCCGUCUCCCAGGUUUAAGCGAUUCUCCUGCCUCAGCCUCCCGAGUAGCUGGGAUUACAGACGCCCACCACCAUGUCUGGCUAAUUUUUGUAUUUUUAGUAGAAAGGAGGUUUCACCACAUUGGCCAGGCUGGUCUUGAACUCCUGACCUCAAGUGAUCCACCUGCCUCAGCCUCCCAAAGUGCUGGGAUUACAGGCAUGAGCCACCACACCCAGUCCUGAAAUUAACAUUUGAGACAGUGGACUGGGAGAGGCAGACCCACCCUCAAUCUGGGUGGGCACCAUCUGCCCACCCAGCUGCCAGCACAGCUAGGAUAAAAGCAGGCAGAGGAACGUGGAAGGACUAGACUGGCUGACUCUUCCAGCCUUCAUCUUUCUCCUGUGCUGGAUGCUUCCUGCCUUCGAACAUUGGACUCCAAGUUCUUCAGCUUUUCGACUCUUGGACUUACACCAGUGGUUUGUCAGGGGCUCUCCAGCCAUCAGCCACAGACUGAAGGCUGCACUGUUGGCUUCCCUACUUUUGAGGUGUUGGGACUCGGACUGGCUUCCUUGCUCCUCAGCUUGCAGACGGCCUAUUGUGGGACUUCAUCUUAUGAUCGUCUCUUCUGGGUGAAAGAGCUCCUACAGUGAUGGCUGACUUCAACACUGCUUGGGAGAGGCCUGGCACCCAUAACAUCUGAGACAUCUCUACCAACUGGGAUCUCCUUUCAAGUUCAGUCAAAAACAGUCAAAGUUGGCCCUGUUCUUCCAACAACCCAUGUCUGAUGCAGUCUCAAAUCUUUUUCUAAAUAAGGCAGGGAUAAGAAAGACAGGCAAAUGGAUCCUCAUCCAGAAAUGGAUUCUAGAACUAAACCUGUAUCACCCCAGUUGCAGAUUUCACAAGAAUAUGGUCCUGCCUGGUCCUGUUGGGUUUGAUGGGGUUCAAAACAUGCUACCCCAAAAUAUGGCACCUUGGCAUAUUGAAUAUUUUAAGCUGAAGGAAUUUGAGAAGCAGCCAUUGCAGGAAGGACUCUCUAACCUCCCCUUUCUCGCCAGAGCACGUCAUAAGACCCUCACAGAAGAGGUGCCCUCCCUAUAACUGGAGGAAGGGAGCAUCCUUAUGUCAGAAGACGGAAGGAUGCUGAGAGGAAUUUGAGGGAAUGGGCCUUGCUAUGUUUCCUCCAGUUUACUAUCCUUAGUUCAUAUCCUUUGUCCUAUCACAUUUUCCCACAACACUCCACUCUUCAUUAAAUCAAAUAUAAAAGUGCUCAGGCUUAACCUGAACUGGCUUAACCUCAAGCUAACCAUUCUUUGGGUCUUCCUUUCCUUAUGAAGGCUCCUAUGUCAUGUAAAACUUAUAUUAAAUAAAUGUGUUUGCUCUUCUCAUGUUAA